rnacentral:rRNA from 1 species
AACGAACGCUGGCGGCAUGCCUAACACAUGCAAGUCGAACGUGAUCCGUGCCUUCGGGUGCGGUGAAAGUGGCGCACGGGUGAGUAACGCGUGGGAACCUGCCCAAUGGUAGGGAAUAACCGCGGGAAACUGCGGCUAAUACCCUAUGAGCCCUACGGGGAAAGAUUUAUCGUCGUUGGAGGGGCCCGCGUCGGAUUAGGUAGUUGGUGGGGUAAUGGCUCACCAAGCCUUCGAUCCGUAGCUGGUCUGAGAGGAUGAUCAGCCACACUGGGACUGAGACACGGCCCAGACUCCUACGGGAGGCAGCAGUGGGGAAUAUUGGACAAUGGGGGCAACCCUGAUCCAGCAAUGCCGCGUGAGUGAAGAAGGCCUUAGGGUUGUAAAGCUCUUUCGGCGGGGACGAUGAUGACGGUACCCGCAGAAGAAGCCCCGACUAACUCCGUGCCAGCCGCCGCGGUAA